AGUGAACGCUGGCGGUAGGCCUAACACAUGCAAGUCGAACGGCAGCACAGUAAGAGCUUGCUCUUACGGGUGGCGAGUGGCGGACGGGUGAGGAAUACAUCGGAAUCUACUUUUUCGUGGGGGAUAACGUAGGGAAACUUACGCUAAUACCGCAUACGACCUACGGGUGAAAGCAGGGGAUCUUCGGACCUUGCGCGAUUGAAUGAGCCGAUGUCGGAUUAGCUAGUUGGCGGGGUAAAGGCCCACCAAGGCGACGAUCCGUAGCCGGUCUGAGAGGAUGGUAGGCGACACGGGAACGUAGACACUGUCCAGACUCCUACGGGAGGCAGCAGGAGGGAAUCUUCGGCGAGGGGCGAAAGCCUGACGGAGCAACGCCGCGUGAGUGAUGAAGGACGUCGGAUCGUAAAACCCGGUUAUUAGGGAAGACAAGAUGUGUAAGUAACUGUGCACAUAGUGACGGUACCUAAUCAGAAAGCAACGGCUAACUACGGG
rnacentral:rRNA from 1 species